rnacentral:lncRNA from 12 species
AGGAGGCAGAAAGAGCUGUUUAAAGCAUAGUUAACAUUGAGAAUUGAAGUUGUCUAUACAUUUUCUGCAAAUUUGGCACAACAACAUAGGCCUGUGGGUUUCAGUCAUGCUCCUCCCAAGUGGAUAAGCCUUUCCUCAGAACUGCUACUGUCUCCAGAGCCCUGAAGAGCUAAAAGUCAGAUACAGAAUAGUAACGUCAACUUUUGACAUGCAUCAUGUUGAAGGCAUAUUGGAA